rnacentral:lncRNA from 1 species
GCCUCUUUCAACAAGUGUCGCUCCCAAGAAUUGGACUGUCAACCUUAGAUAUCCAAUGAGAUCCUAUAUCACUAGACUAAAACCUUAUUGGUAAUUACCUAAUAAUAUACAAAAGGAUAUGAUUUUCCAAUACACAACCUCUUUCCUUUUGUAAAAUAGCAUUAACUCCGAUCAACUAAAUUGUGAACAUGAAUUAUAAACUUGUUCACAUUAGCAUUGUCUUUAAUCCAUUGCCCCCUUCACCAUUCCGUAAGGUUUCCUACCCCGCCGAAAAUAUUUCUAUUUUUUGUAAGCAUUUGAUGUAAAUUUGAUAAUGUCUUCUAACUACAUAGUUUAAUCAAAUCCAAUUUUCUAUCCACAGGUUACUAAAAAAAGGAUUUGCCCCUUUACUAACAAAGACAUUAUGAUAGAAUUGCACUGAAAAUUAAAUCUUGAUUCUAAACCUUUUAAGAGGAAAUGUAUUGAUAAUCCAGAGAAGAAAAAAAUGCCUAACAUGAUAAGAGUUUGUU